rnacentral:rRNA from 1 species
GGUCCCAGCGUAUACGCUCUUGGUACGCCGCAACUUGCAAUAAGUAUGCGACGUCCCGGGAGUGCGAAUUAACAUAAAACGUCAACUAUCUUCCCUAAAUUUACCGAAGCAAAUUUUUACUUUCAUUACGCCUUUAGGUAUUGUAUGUACCCAAUGACUUGCGCACAUGCUAGACUCCUUGGUCCGUGUUUCAAGACGGGUCCUGAGAACAACCCAAAACAUUAUCGUCGCAGACGGAUGAAUAAGGCAAUAAAUACAAAUAGAGAACAUCACAACCAACAGUAAUAUACGCGCAAAAACGGUACUAGGUCCGUAUUCUACUGACCGUAUAUAUACUUGCUAUGAGCCUAUAUGAAUAAAAUAUGCGGCUUAUCAUCAUAUGUCAUACCAUCGGGUAGAUGUCGGGACACCAUAAGUCCGGUACGCACAAAUUAUAAAAUUUGACGCCACGGUCUCCAUUAUGGACCUUAGACAACAUACUCAAUGGGUCGCGACGUCCUACAAGGGGAGAAGUGCAUGCCUCCAAUAAUAGACUAAUAUACAAUAGCGGAGCAUAAUAUACAGACUACGUACCCUGCCGAAACAGAAUGUACGCACGCAUAAAACGUCUCAUAAAAAUAUCACCAUCAGUAUCGCUAUUAUUGGAAAAGGCAAAUGAAUCUCCCCGUUCGAACUUUCGGGCUUCUCAGGUUUACCCCUGAACGGUUUCACGUACUCUUGAACUCUCUCUGCAAAGUUCUUUUCAACUUUCCCUCACGGUACUUGUUCGCUAUCGGUCUCGUGGUCAUAUUUAGCCUUAGAUGGAGUUUACCACCCACUUAGAGCUGCACUCUCAAGCAACUCGACUCUAAGGAGAAACCCACCCAAACAUACUGUAUGGUCACUACGGGCCUAGCACCCUCUAUGGGCGAACGGGCCCCCUUCAAGAAGGACUUGGACGCAUCAGUAAUAUCUAGGUUAAACGGGCUCUCCCAAACACUACAUUGCCCAGCGACCGUAUACAAUCGCGGGCUUCAGUGCUGGGCUUAUCCCUGUUCGCUCGCCGCUACUAAGGGAAUCCU